UACAUGGGGUGCAAACGUUGCUCGGAAUUAUUGGGCGUAAAGGGUAGGUAGGUGGUCUCAUUUGUCUGGGGUGAAAGCCUUGAGCUUAACUCAAGAAGUGCCCCAGAAACGGUGAGACUAGAGUCCUGGAGAGGGUCGUGGAAUUCCCGGUGUAGCGGUGAAAUGCGUAGAGAUCGGGAGGAACACCAGAGGCGAAGGCGGCGACCUGGACAGGUACUGACACUCAACUACGAAAGCGUGGGGAGCAAACAGG
rnacentral:rRNA from 1 species